GAUGAACGCUGGCGGCGUGCCUAAUACAUGCAAGUCGAGCGAACAGACGAGGAGCUUGCUCCUCUGACGUUAGCGGCGGACGGGUGAGUAACACGUGGAUAACCUACCUAUAAUACUGGGAGAACUUCGGGAAACCGGAGCUAAUACCGGAUAAUAUAUUGAACCGCAUGGUUCAAUAGUGAAAGACGGUUUUGCUGUCACUUAUAGAUGGAUCCGCGCCGCAUUAGCUAGUUGGUAAGGUAACGGCUUACCAAGGCGACGAUGCGUAGCCGAGCUGAGAGGGUGAUCGGCCACACUGGAACUGAGACACGGUCCAGACUCCUACGGGAGGCAGCAGUAGGGAAUCUUCCGCAAUGGGCGCAAGCCUGACGGAGCAACGCCGCGUGAGUGAUGAAGGUCUUCGGAUCGUAAAACUCUGUUAUUAGGGAAGAACAAAUGUGUAAGUAACUAUGCACGUCUUGACGGUACCUAAUCAGAAAGCCACGGCUAACUACGUG
rnacentral:rRNA from 1 species